CCAAUAGCGUAUAUUAAAGUUGUUGCAGUUAAAAAGCUCGUAGUUGAAUUUCGGGGUUAGUAGGUUGGUCAUGCCUCUGGUAUGUACUGGUCUCACUGAUUCCUCCUUCCUGAUGAGCCGUAAUGCCAUUAAUUUGGUGUUGCGGGGAAUUUGGACUGUUACUUUGAAAAAAUUAGAGUGUUUAAAGCAAGCUAACGCUUGAAUACAGUAGCAGGGAAUAAUGAAUUAGGACGUUCGAUCCUAUUUUGUUGGUUUCUAGGAUUGACGUAAUGAUUAAUAGGGAUAGUUGGGGGCAUUAGUAUUCAAUUGUCAGAGGUGAAAUUCUUGGAUUUAUUGAAGACUAACUACUGCGAAAGCAUUUGCCAAGGAUGUUUUCAUUAAUCAAGAACGAAAGUUAGGGGAUCGAAGACGAUCAGAUACCGUCGUAGUCUUAACCAUAAACUAUGCCGACUAGGGAUCGGAUGAUGUUAAUUUUUUAAUGACUCAUUCGGCGCCUUACG
rnacentral:rRNA from 1 species